AUUGCGUUCGAGAUUCGACUCAGAGCACACGGGCUCCCAGGCGUAGUCGUAGAACAUUGCGUUCGAGAAUAAAUGCGUACACUGUGUAUCAGAAAUUGUGAACUGUACAUGUGAGAGUAUGAAGGACAAUAAACUAUUGUGAAGCGUAAACGCAGUGUGGACCUUAACCCGCUCACGCUGACAGAACAAGAGAAAGAAAAAAUAUUAAUACUAAUCCCGAAUGUAGAGCGACUUUCUUAAAAUAUUCUGCAAACUAGAAAAAUCGAGAAAUAACUUAUUCAAAAGUUUUAAACGUAAAAAAGAAAAGAAACUUAAUGGGGUAUAUACACAGCAACUGUUUUACAAUAGAUUUUAUAUUAUACAGGUAUAGUUUUUUCUACCAAAAUUCUAUCAACAUUUCAAAUAAUUAAAGUAACUGAUGCAACGCAAUAUAAACAACUUGUGUCUGUAAAGUUUUUGAUAUUUAAAAGUACUAGCUGUAACAAAAGGACUAUAAAAUUUCACCGCCAAAUUUAUAAUUAAACAAACCUAGAAUGAAUUAUACAAACACACGCAGACAUCUAGACAUAGCCAAACGUAAUAAUAAUGCAUACAGAAAUUCGAUCAACAAUAAUGAUGUCUAUAGAUAUCCGAAAUAACAAUGACCAGCAAAUUCGAGCGGGGAGGGGCUAACGAAGUGUUCGGCGCGGGAGAGAAUGCAUACGCGCGCCCGGCACGUCCAGCCAUUAAUUAUGGAUGGUCCCGUCGCGAUUAAGCUGGCCCUAAUGAAAUAUGGCGCUUAAUUAUUCACUACUUAAACGAGUGAAAUUAAUACGGCGAAUAAUAAUGCGCCGCCCGGUGUAACAGCCACUGUCGCCGUGGAAAUUGAACGUGAGAAAUGGAGAGGGAUGAUGGGAAUAUUCCUAUCCUCGCGCGCGCGCGCGUUUCCCUCUAGUCUUCUUUAUCAUCGUAUUCUGUAAGGAAGGACAUUUCGAUGGCAAUAAUUCGCCAAAUAGUUGAAAAACGCGUAUGGUGGUUCGUGCCUGACAUAUAUACGUAGCAGAUAUGAAUCAUGGCAAGUGUGAUUGUAGAUUAUAGAAUAAUUGUAUUGCUAUUUAUGUAUCAUAAAUUUUUUCCCACUUUUUAUGCAAACUAAUUCUUUACGCAUAAAUAAAUACAUCAUAUUAUAUGGUCAA